UACGGAGGGGGCUAGCGUUGUUCGGAAUUACUGGGCGUAAAGCGCACGUAGGCGGCUUUGUAAGUAAGAGGUGAAAGCCUGGAGCUCAACUCCAGAAUAGCCUUUUAGACUGCAUCGCUUGAAUCAUGGAGAGGUGAGUGGAAUUCCGAGUGUAGAGGUGAAAUUCGUAGAUAUUCGGAAGAACACCAGUGGCGAAGGCGGCUCACUGGACAUGUAUUGACGCUGAGGUGCGAAAGCGUGGGGAGCAAACAGG
rnacentral:rRNA from 1 species